rnacentral:rRNA from 1 species
GACAGAGGAGCCAAGCGUUGUCCGGAAUUAUUGGGCGUAAAGGGCUCGUAGGCGGUCCGUCACGUCGGGAGUGAAAACUCAGGGCUCAACCCUGAGCGUGCUUCCGAUACGGGCAGACUAGAGGUAUGCAGGGGAGAACGGAAUUCCUGGUGUAGCGGUGGAAUGCGCAGAUAUCAGGAGGAACACCGGUGGCGAAGGCGGUUCUCUGGGCAUUACCUGACGCUGAGAAGCGAAAGCAUGGGGAGCGAACAGG